rnacentral:rRNA from 1 species
AUUGAACGCUGGCGGCAGGCCUAACACAUGCAAGUCGAGCGAGCGGCGGACGGGUGAGUAAUGUAUGGGGACUGCCCGAUAGAGGGGGAUAACUACUGGAAACGGUGGCUAAUACCGCAUACUAUCGGAUAACCCAUAUGGGAUUAGCUAGUGGGUGGGGUAAAGGCUCACCUAGGCGACGAUCUCUAGCUGGUCUGAGAGGGUGAUCAGCCAAACUGGGACUUGAGCACGGCCCCGACUCCUACGGAGGGAGCAGGGGGGAAUAUUGGAAAAAGGGCGCCAGGCUGAGGGAGCCAAGCCGGGUGUAAUGAGAAGGCCCUAGGGUUGUAAAGUACGUUCAGUGGGGAGGCGUUAACCACAGAAGAAGCACCGGCUAACUCCGUGCCAGCAGCCGCGGUAAUAC